rnacentral:snRNA from 1 species
GUGCUCACUUUGGCAGCACAUAUAUUAAAAUUGGAACAAUACAGAGAUUAGCAUGGUCCCUGCAUAGGGAUGACACACAAAUUCGUGAAGUGUUCCAUAUUUUU